UGAAGAUGGAAGAGACACAUAUUUUCUGUUAUAACACUCAUUACCUCAUGCAUAUUGAAUGUAAAUAAUUAUCCGUUCAUAUCGGAAUAAGCGGUCAUCUACAGCAAUAGCACAUGAAAUUUUUGCUAUGAAACUAAUAGAUAGGUUUCAAGCACUUGACAGUUAAACAUAUUUAUAAUUUCGCGGAUCCUGAUUCCGGUGCAUACACCCUAAACGUGGAGCAAGUGUGCUACAUUGCGAAUUCAUAAUAAGAAAUAAAAUAACUUUUUAUUGAUGUGUAAAUAAAUU